AUUCAACCUUAUCUUCCCUAUUUCAAUGACACUCACCUGCCCACACGAGGACGCACCAGGCCAUGGGACUUGAUGAAGACACAGUCGCCAACCUUCAGCCACAUGUCAUUGUAAUGGAGCUGCUCAAAGUAGUGGCAACCUGGUUCACCAUUGGACAUUUCCACAGGGACAUCUUCUUUUUCCUGUUGUAAAGAAAACUAGCUGAAGAAAGGUAGCUGAUAAUCAAGGAAUAGAGAAGGUUGUGAAAUCAAGAUUAUCCUGGCUUUGCAAAACAAACUGGAAAUUUCUUGUUCUCCCUGCUCUGAAACAGCUUCAACAGUAUAAUAAUCAUAGGUCCCUUAAAGAAAAAGUCACCUAUGGAACUGUCUGACCUCAGUACUCUUUGGGGUCAGUUCUAUGAUACUUUAAAAAAUUUCUUCAUGUUGUUGUACAUUCUGUAUUAUAUCUCUUCUUGAUUCCAUUUUGGUAAUUUGUAAUAUCCUAGACAAUUAGCCAUUUUAUUUAGGUUUUCAAAUUUAUUAGCAGAAAUAUACAGUCUUUACAUUUCUUCCACAUUUAUUUAUUUAUUUAUUUUUUGAGACAGAGUUUCGCUCUUGUUGCCCAGGCUGGACUGCAAUAGCGCGAUCUCGGCUCACAGCAACCUCCGCCUCCUGGGUUCAAGCGAUUCUCCUGCCUCAGCUUCCCAAGUAGUUGGGAUUACAGGCACCCACCACCUCACCUGGCUAAUUUUUUGUAUUUUUAGUAGAGACAGGGUUUCACCAAGUUGGCCAGGCUGGUCUCGAACUCCUGACCUCAGGUAAUCCACCCACCUCGGCCUCCCAAAGUGCUGGGAUUACAGGUGUGAGCCACCGUGCCUGGCCUUCUUCCACAUUUUGUGUCGAAGUUUAACCCCUUUCUUUUCCAUUAUAUAGUUGGCAGUUUAUCUAAUUGGACUUGUCAAAUAAUUAGCUCUUAGAUUUAAAUUUUUUUUUUUUUUUUUUGAGACAGUCUCACUCUGUUGCCCAGGCUGGAGUAGAGUGGCAUGGUCUCGGCUCACUGCAGCCUCCGCCUCCCGGGUUCAUGCCAUUCUCUUGCCUCAGCCUCCAGGGUAGCUGGGAUUACAGGCACGUACCACCACACCCAGCUAAUUUUUGUAUUUUUAGUAGAGAUGGGGUUUCACCAUGUUGGUCAGGCUGGUCUCGAACUCCUGACCUUGUGAUCUGCCUGCCUUGGCCUUCCAAAAUCCUGGGAUUACAGGCGUGAACCAAUGCGCCUGGCCUGAUUUACUUUUAAAUUAAAAUGUACAGUUUUGAAAGUGUAAAUUUCUUUCUGUUAUAGUUUCCUUCUUUCUGUUUGGCUAAGGUUUUGUGUUUUUGCUCUUUUUCUAAGUUUGAAUACUUUAUUCAUUUAUUUUCUGGAAUAGGUUUUUUGAGAUGUAAAAUUUUUUUCUGUGUGGCUAUUAUCUGCAUACCUUUUCCAAGUUAAAAUUGUCUUCAGCUCGA